GAUGAAGAACGCAGCGAAAUGCGAUAAGUAAUGUGAAUUGCAGAACUCAGUGAAUCAUCGAAUCUUUGAACGCACAUUGCGCCCCUUGGUAUUCCAUGGGGCAUGCCUGUUCGAGCGUCAUUUGUACCUUCAAGCUCUGCUUGGUGUUGGGUGUUUGUCUCGCCUCUGCGUGUAGACUCGCCUCAAAACAAUUGGCAGCCGGCGUAUUGAUUUCGGAGCGCAGUACAUCUCGCGCUUUGCACUCAUAACGACGACGUCCAAAAGUACAUUUUUACACUCUUGACCUCGGAUCAGGUAGGGAUACCCGCUGAACUUAAGCAUAUCAAUAAGCGGAGGA
rnacentral:misc_RNA from 1 species